rnacentral:lncRNA from 1 species
UUUGUAAGAAACCAAGAUAAAAGCCCUUCCCUUUAAUCCCGGUUUUGACGCGCCCGGGAUAAAAGUGCAACCCUUUAUCUCGGUUCGUAAGUAGAACCAGGAUAAAAGGUCACGUCCAGGCGGGAACUGAAAUUUACCCUUUUGUCCCGGUUCUAAUUACGAACCGAGAUAAAGGGCCUUACCAACCGGGAUAAAAUGUCCCUCUCCUAUUUCUCAUCUCC